rnacentral:rRNA from 1 species
CGUUGAUUACGUCCCUGCCCGUUGUACACACCGCCCGUCGCUACUACCGAUUGAAUGGCUCAGUGAGGCGUCCGGACUGGUCCAGAGAGGAGGGAAACCACCACUCAGGGCCGGAAAGCUCUCCAAACUCGGUCAUUUAGAGGAAGUAAAAGUCGUAACAAGG